GAAGGGAGCAAAUGCAAAUGGAGCGACAACAUUUCCUGUCACACCCCCUCCGAGUCCCCGACCCUGAAGUAGACAGAAGCUGCAGCCCCACGUGUCUGCACUGAACACCACAACUCCCACUGGGGAAUUCACUCCGAACUUAGAGGAAGAUGCUCCUCUGGCUGCAUGUUGCUCUCAUGGCGGCACUUCCUCAAGGGGCCCAUUCGCAGGUUCAGCUGGUGGAGUCUGGGGGAGACGGGAAAAUGGCAGGAGAUUCUAUCAAGAUCUCGUGUAAGGCCUCUGGGUUCACCUUUGGUGACUACUGGAUGCACUGGUACCGGCAGGCUCCCGGGAAAGGACCCGAGUGGGUGUCCGGCAUUAGUUAUUGGGCUGGAACCGACAAAAGAUACGCUGAGUCAGUGAAAGGGCGAUUCACCAUCUCCAGAGACAACGCCAACAACCUGCUGUAUCUGCAAAUGACCGGCCUGAGACCUGAGGACGCAGCGGUGUAUCACUGUGCGAGAGACACAGUGACUGGCAGGGAAUCUCACCACUUACAAAAACAUCCCCUUUGGCGGCAUAGCCCAGGGGAAGGGUCAGACACAUACAGAACUGAACCAAGGAGAAAAAGUCCCCAGCGCUGUAGUCAUCACGCAGGAAACUAUGAUUUUUGGAGCCCGGUGAAGGCUGCAAAGACACGCCAAGGUUGAGGCGCAUUAGGAAAGCUGCAGCCUCUACUCCU